rnacentral:rRNA from 1 species
GAAGAGAGAGUUCAAGAGUACGUGAAACCGCCUGGGAGUAAACGGGUGGUUCCCGAAAGUGCGAAAGGGGAGAUUCAGUCUCGCCGCGCGCCGGGCCGUUCCCGCGACAAGGGAUGGUGUUCUCNCGGCCGUGGGGCGACCCACGGUCCGGGANNNUCGCCACCCCGCGGGUGCNGUUUUUCCCNGCGUCGGANUGACNCACUUCUCCCCCGGUAGAACGUCGCGAUCCGUCGGUCGCCNGNCUAAGGUCCCCGGUGGAGCCUGUGCGGUUCGCCGCGCAUGACCCGGGGAAUCCCGGCCGGGUGCCCGACGGUACAAAGAGAGGAAGGAGUCGGCGCGCCCUCNCGGGCGUUCGCCCCUCCGCAANCGCCCGCGNUAGUCCGGAGUCCGGUCCCGGCCGGUCUUCUUUCUUCANCGGGGCUGUUUGCNANUUUGNAGGUGUGCUCGGAC